UUACUAAUCAGUUCUAAAAUGUUUACACAGUUUUAUUGUUCUAGUUGCAUGUUUCUAUGUAAAGCAGUGAAAUGUUACUUUUCAAAUUUAUAUGCUUUACCUCUUCUGAACAUUCCUUUUCCAUAGGUACUAUUUGUGAUUUUUACAACAAAUGCUUUAUCCUAUAUAUUCUGUUAGUUAAAAAAACAUUAAACAGAAUCAUUCUGGUGCUUUUUCAAUGUCCUUCUUGUACUUAAGCAGUCAUAUGCCCCUCAAACUUUUCUUUCCCCAAGUGGAAUUAAAAAAGAACCAACAACAGGUAAUAGUAUAUUUCUUGCACAACUCUAGUUUUCCUUUCUAGUUUAAAUUUACAUCCCUUUUUGUCAAAGCCUUAGAAGACUUAACUACUUUUCUUAAAAAACAAAAAGAAAACCCAGCACAGUUGAUAUAAUAGGUAAAACACUCACGUUAAUACUCUAAAUAAAAAACACAAGAUGAUCCAGUGAUUCAGGAUCGAAAAGUACAACACGGGAAUAGACUUAUCAUUGGCUUGUUUACCAUAAUCACAGUUGGAAACUGACUGCCAGCCCUGCAUAAGGAGUAUUUGUAAACAGACAGCAAUUCAGUCCAAAGACUUCUUCAAGUCCAUUGUGUAAGUAAACAAUCUGAGAGCAAUUGAAAAAGUCUUGUCCUUCAAAGACUGGAUGAAAGAAGUGCAAAAAGACUUUUCCUAAAUAAUAAACAGUUAGACAGCUAUACUAUUCAUGUUAAAAUGGUCCAUCCUGUCAGACACAAAUAGUGAAUUUUACAGGGGAGGAAACAAUGUCAUUGGCAAAGAUGAAUGUUCAUACAUACAUAUCUACAUACUCCAAAUUAAGUCACAGGACUUAAUACAAUAAGAUUCAUAAGUAUCUAAAUCUAUUUUCACACACAUUCUAAAAGUAUGUAGAGAUUUUGCUUGAAGUCAAAAGAACAUCUUGCUAAUGUAAAAACUUUUAUAUAUCUGCAAGAAUCUGAUAUUCAAGACAUAUAAGCAAAUUAAUAGAAGUAUCUAAGACCAGAAGCCCUUUCCCAAAAAGAUAGUCAAAGGAUAUGAAUAAACAGUCCUCACAAAAAUAAUGGGAAACUUUAAAAAAAACAACAAUAUUGUUCUAAAUCACUAAUAAUAAGAUAAAUGCAAAUGAAAAGAAGUCUGAAAUUUUACCUCAACCUCAGAAAAUUAUGAAAGGUGACAAAAGAUGGAAAGUCAAUACUGAAGGCUCUGUAGAAACACAGGCAUUGUUGGUAGAGCUACAGAUACACAGGUUUGAAAAUCAGUUUUGAAUUAUGUUAAUAAAGUAAUUAAAAUGUCAGUAUCUUUUGACUUGGAGAUUCUGCUACUUGGCAUAUAUGCUCCAAAGAGGUAAAAAUGUCCCAUACACGAUAUUUGUAGGAACACUUUUUGUACUACCAAGAACUGGAAACAAAGUAGAUGCCUACCAUUUAGGGAAUGACUAAAGAAGUUAUGGUACACAUGAAUGUAAUGGUAUGUUACUGUGUUGUAAAAAAGAAUGAAUAAUGAAUACAAUGCAAAGUAAAUGAGGAGACCUGGAAAAAUAAUAUGCACAAGAACUGUAAUAAUGUAAAUGUUAUGAAUGACAAGAAAACAACUGAAAUUAAAUGCAGUGAAAUUAUAAUGAUCAAGCCUGGCUUCAAUAACAAUAUAUGAAGCCACUCUUUGCCCCUUCUUUGCAGAGGUGGAUCAGAAGUGUCUCUCACACCCAUAUACAUGUCCCAUACCCACUAUGUCAGAUUAUGUAUAAUGUUUUUAUGAAAUGUCUUUUAAAAAAAUCUUAAUAAAGGAGAUGUCUCCCUGCAAGGGGGUGAAAGAAGCAGGGUAUGUAAAAACAAAAUGUAUUUCAAAAAAAACCAAACACCAAGCUCAAUCAACUAGCAAGCAUUUAUUUAUUAAGUGUACAUGACACAAAGCUAAGUUCUAAAAUACAAAGACAGGCAAAAUGACAUGGGCACUGUAUCCCCAGAAACUCAGACAAAUGAUUAUGGACAGAGAGAUGCACCUCCAGGCUACACCUGCAUCCUAUCAGGCUACAUCUCAAGAUAUCUGUUUGUUAAGGAAUCUUUAUGCCUCCAGGCAGAUCCCAGUCAGAUGACCACCUCACCCCACCAAAUGCCUGAGUGACUAGCACUCUAGGUCCCAUCCACACCAUGACAUAGCAUCUGUUGUAAAGAGUAUAAAAUCCCCAGAACUGAUGUCCUCUGGAGGACAGCUUCCCAUCUUGCUGUUCCACCUUGCUAUCCUCCUGGCCAUUCUCAACAUUACCUCCUAAAUUAAUACAUUUCUCUUCUUGUUUUUAAGCUAAGUUUUGGAGUCUUGCAGUCUUGCAAAAGGUAUCCUUCCCAAACCCCAGGGGUACACAUCUGCACCCCCAUAACACAAAAUAGUCCCAGUUCGUAAGGAGGUGUCAACGCGGAAAUCUAGAAGUCCCCAGUUUAUUUAGUUGGGAGGUAGAAACCCCAGGUUUUGACCUUGUCACAGGAGAGUUUCCCCCUGAGGGAAGCUAAGCCCGAUCUGAAGUCGAAUGACUGUCUCCUGAAGCCUUUCCCAGCAUAUCACACCCUCCCUUCCUUCUGAGGAUUGAACUCGGGAUCUUCAGCUACUGAGACUGUAGCGCCAAAGAGUCACUGGACUUCAGGAUCACAGAUCAGGCUUAGCUCCCAGUUGAAGUGGAUGUCUAUUGUCUGGUCAAGUAGGACCUCCCCUCAGGAGGAAACCUCUCCUGUGACAAGGUCAAAACCUGGGGUUUCUACCUCCCAACUAAAUAAACUGGGGACUUCUAGAUUUCUGCAUUGACAGAGGUUAUAGAGAAAUUUUACCCUUAAAGGUUUUGUUUGAUUCUUCAUAAUAAAAGAUAAGACUUGUAAAAAAAGUAUAAUUUACAUUUACUACUUAUCUAACCUUGAUUUGAUCCCUAAAGUUUUUAAUUUUCUCUCCUUAAAAUGACCUUAUCUUUACUUCUGGUAGCUUUCCACUAGAAUGCAAACACUUUGAGAAGUUUCCUUUUUGUUAUUGUAUCCUCAUUAUCUACUAUAGUGCCCUAGCAGGGUUUGGUGUUGAAUUACUAUUGGUGAAUUGAAUUGAAUCAGUAAAAUGAGAUGGUUGGACUAGAAAUGCCCCUAAGGUUACCCCUUCUCUAAAUGUUAAAUUCUGGGAUCCCUAAAUGCUAACUAGCUAAGCUGUCUUUGGAACCUUUUAUUGAACUUCUGUGGAAUGAUUUGCUUCGUUUCUGGUGUAUUCUAUAUUUGCUCAGUUGACUAAAAUCCACAGAAUGGGACAGAAAGUAUUGAAGUAGCCCCCAAAAGACCAAAGAUGGAAAAAAUUACCCCUGUCCACAUUUUUAGGGGACAGACCUGUCUUUUCCUUCCCUCCAGAAGGACAAGAUGUUUGGGGCAGAUAGCAAAAUGCUUUCUGCUUAGUUUGGGUGGCAAGAGACAAAAGAGGAAUUUCAGGAAUAUCAAAGGGCCAGUGAACUAACAUUUGACUAAGUGAAGAUAAACACUCCUUGGUUAACAGCCCCAUCGUAAUUCUAAGAAUUGUCCCCCCCAUCUCAGACCCCACAUUCCUGUGUUAAGGUUUGUUUGUUAGAUAAGAACUCUGCAAUGUAUAUAAUCUGGUCUUUAAUGUCAAACCAACGCAGUUUCCCACUAGGGAACUCUACCCCAGCUGGUAGAUCCUUUAUUUCUCUCUUUUAUUAAUAAAUUACAGUUCCAAUAAUUGAAAUUCUAGGUGUUUGAACUCGUUUAUGAAGUGUUCUGUUUCAGUUGGAGGUCCCAGCGAGAUCUCAAGCCCCUGGACCAGGAGGUAAGGACUUUGGAGAGGGCUGUGGUAAGAGUGUGUGUUUGUGCUUGCUUGGGGCUGAGUUCUCUAGGCCUGGGGCUGGGGUUUGCUAAGCCGGGGCCUGUGAAAGAGAUUUGAGCACUUAUCCCCUUCAGAGGUGUUUCUGAGCGCGGACUUGAAGAGUAUGCAGUUCCCAACUCCCGAGGGAUUGGGUCAGAAAUCCGAGGAAGUGAAUGGUGUCCUCUCCGGAGCCCGCCCCUGGUUCUGGUAUUUGAGAUUUCAGAUGAAAUUUAGGCUGAUUUUGGAACCAUCUGUCCUGUCCUGUUCUGUUCUGUUCUGCUCUGGUAAGUUAGCUCUGUUUCUCUAGAAUUCUGUUUUGUUUUGCCCCAUGGCCUGUUUUACUCUAGGAGUCUGCCUGCUUGAAGGCUCGGUCCUGAAGUUCUGUUUGGGCCCUAGAGUUGGCCAUGGAGUUCUGUUCUGUUCUGUAAAUCCGGAUUUAGUGGAGGCUGUUGGGUUGCUGCAGUUUAGUCUCACAGUCAGGUCACUAAAGAGAUGUCUUUCAGUGACUUCAGGGAACCUUCGUGUUCAAGGGUGUAUGAAUGUGUGAGAGAGUGUGUCCUAUAGGUCUCUGUUGAGUCUUUGUUGUUUUUGUGUGGUUAAAUGAAACAAAGAAAAAGGCAAAAAGAGUUUAAGGUGCAGACGGGAAUUUUUUUUGUAGUGGCUGUUCCCUGCUCCCUCCCACGGCAUCCCAACAGGGCAGACUAUGGGGGAAGGGCAAGCUCCUAAGCAGGAGAAAGAGUCUGAAGAGGAGGGGAUUUACAAGUCCUUCCUUGAAAAAAGCCAGCCAGCCUCAGGAAAGCUCACCUCCAACCCUAUUGCGAGCAGAUAGUUUUGUCCAGAUACUACAAGAGCAUUUUGUUAGAAAUCAGUUUAAAAAAAAAAGUCAGUUUUUGAUAGAUCAGUUCAGAGAGAGCUAGGGAACAAGAACGUCUGCUCAGCCAAUCAGAUGGCUUAACUCAUCACAGCUUCUCCAAGUAUGUUGAAACUGUUUUAAUGGUUUUUCUCCCUGCAAAUUUUUUUUUCUUAAGAAUGGAUCCUAUAAACACCUAUUUUUUCCUCUCAAACCAUGCUUGUCACAGCAUUGAAUAUUACUGUUUAUCUUUGUCUUUGUCACAGUCUCGUCUCUAUGUAAAAAGGGGGGAGUUGCAAGCUUGAACUUUCCACUGUCAAAAAUCCUCAGCAGAGGACAAAAGCAAAUGCCUGUUCAAUGAUUUUUCCCUCUUUCUUCCUUUGGAUGGGCCCCCAAAGGAGCCAAAGAGAGAAAAUUCUGAGCAGAAAAGGGAGAUUCUUAUUCCACAGUUAGAAAUUUUCAUUUAAAAUUAAUUCUCAACUUGGGAGGAUUGCUAAUGAUUUUGAUAUGGUACAAAUGUAAUUUCAUGUAUCUCUGUUUGUCAAGUUAAAUGUGAAAUGUUGCCAGAUUUUUAUUGAGCACAAAAACUCCUAGUUAGAAGUUUGUUUUGGUAAACCUUGCAAUGCAUAAUGGUUUCAGUGAAUUUGAGAAUUGUCUAAGUGUGAUUGAUAGAGGAAUGUUUAUUCUGUAUGGACAGAAAUUGUACUGGCCACUCUAUAGAUGUAAAAGUCAUUCAGAAAAAGUUAUGUUGUUGAGAAGAAUUUAUUCUAGAAUUUAAACUUGGGAAUCUUUCAAAUCAUAUUUAUUUUAAUGUGUGUGCUGUCUAGCAGCAAGAAAUCAUGUGACACACAAGAAGCUUUUAAAGUGGUUAAUCUGUGCUUGGGAUUUAAUGAUAUUUGAUAUUUUACAAAAGAGGAAAUUUUUAAAUGAUGUUGUCUUUGAUCAAGGUUAUAUGAAUUGUUUUUAAAUGUGCAAAAUGCCUAGGAAGGAAUUUGUAAUCUAGAGAUGAACAUAUAUGUAUUCAGAUAUCAGAUGCUGGAAAUUAGUGAUGCUGAGUGAAUGCAGGAUAUGUAUGCAUUUAUAUUAUGGAGAGAAUUAAGUUUUCCACCUAAAUAGGUUAAGGAUAUAUGAUAUACAAACUGUAUGUCCUUAACAAGACAAAUUUAACCAGCCCUGAAAUCAAGAGGGUUUGUCAUGAGGAUUAAAUACAGUCUAGCUUCAGAUAUAUCAAAGAGGUCAGGCUGGAAUGCCAGGUAACAUGUAGCUAACUAGGGAGAAGUGAUUAAGUACAUGUGAAAGGAACCAACCCCUGAGGAUAAACCUAAGGAUCUCUGACCUCACAUAACUAUAUUUGUGACAAGGUUUGUUUGAUAAUCAAAUAAGAAUGUGUAUGUGAAAGGAAACAACUUUAUAUCUUAUAACCUAUCUAUAUAAGUUCGGGGGUGUCAUGAUUUGUUUUAUGAAGUGCUCCACUUCAAUAAGAAUAAUGAAUACAGAUACUAAUUGAUACUCUUAAAUUCUAGUAUGAAAUAGAUAUAAUUGUAAUAAUGUUGAUGGAAUUUAAUCAGGCAUAUAGCAAUAUUUUGAGCUAAAAGAAAACUAAAUUGGAGGUUCUAUUCUACUUUAGACAGGUUUUGAGGAGUACAAGUCAAUGCUUUGCACCUCAGUUUGGUUACACUGAAACAUUGCUAUAGGACUUAAUAAUAGUUUGGAAGUGUGGAAUUCAAACUGAAAUCCACUGAGAGUAAAUUGUUAUGAAAGGGGUUUGAUACAUUACAUUAUAGUGAGCUCACUGGUUAAAGAAGGAUGGGACAAGGUUACUAAGUAAUAAAAUCUAAAUCAAACCAAGCAGCCUUAGGAUCAAUUGCUCAGAAGCUACAAGCUUCCUUGUACACAGGAUGGAGUAAAAAGGUGCUCAUAAUAGUUCCACACUGACACUUAGGGACUGAAUUAGGGAUCUCAAAAGUUGAUCAUCACUGUGUGAUAGAACUUAAAGAUGGGUAUAUUUUAAUUGUAUAUUUUAGAGGUUUCAAGGUGCUCAAGCAAGCAAAUAUUGCCAGUCCUGUCUGACCAAGAAGCUUAUUUGAAACUGUGGGAUAUUAAUGUAAACAUUCCAUGUCCAGAGUGAUAAAAUGAGUGGAGUGAUAUGUAAUUUAUAAGUUGCCUCACACGAGUUUUGGGGAUUUAUUGGUUGAUAUUUUGAUUACAUUUUGGUUUGUAUAAGGAUAUAUGUUGCAAACAGUAGCCAAAGAGUGGGUAGGAUGUUAAAAAUGGCAUAUAUGUGAAAAAUGCUUGCUCAGAAUUUUAUGAUUGUUAUGUGAGUUGCUGCUAAAAUAUGUGUUUAAGUAUUGUUUAGAUGUGAACAUUGUAAACCUGUGCCAUAGAUUUUGUUCAAUACUCAGUGGUUACCUCAGUUUACCAAUUUGUACUAUGAACUGAAAUUUAUAAUGGAUGAGCACUAUGCUAAAGAUAGUGUUUCAAUGAUGUAAUCCUUUAAAUCAGAAUUUGUUUGGGUUACCAAUUAGCAAUUGAAGUGAUAUCACCAGUAUGCUUGUUUGACUUAAGUUAGUCAGAGAAGGUGGGAUAGUGUGUUGGAUUUGAAUUUGGAAGAAAGGGACUUUGAUCUAAAGUCCAUAAAGCUUUAGUAUGUGGGUUUGUAAAGCAAGAAUGGAAGUUGUGUUCUGCUUUUUAAACAGAGGGGUUUUGAAGGAAGAAAGAGAGAGAGACAGAGAGGGAGAGAGAAGGUGAAAGAACAGAUAAAUGUUCUGCUCUCAUAAUUGGAUCUUUAAUUUAGGGAUAAUAUAUAUAAAAUUAAUGUAUGUGUGGUGAGAAAAUCACACAUGAUUCUUUAAUUUCUCUGGACGGUUACCCUGAAGUGAUUCCUGCAUGACCUUUGUCUUAGUCUUUCAGAUGGCCUAGGUCCAGGAGAUGAUACAGCCCUGAUUUAUAUUACUAUGGAGCUACUUAAUUCAGCACUCAUGUUUUUUAUUUCAGGUUUUGUGACUAAAGUGUGAUACGUAAACUAUUGCCAAAAUAUGUAAGAAUAACUGCUAUAAUGUAGACUCAUAGGCUUUAAGGAAUCCUUAGAAAGGGUAAAUGGUCAGAAAAGGCUUGUUUGAGGGUAUGGAGAUUUGUUUUUGGACUUCUGAUAAGCAGAAUUUCUCUCAGCUGGAAUGGGUGAAACUUGACUUUUAAAGCAAAAGUGUGAAAAAUAGACUCGAAUACAGGACUACAAUCCCCACGAGCCGAUCAUUUGCAAAAAAAUUAAUUUUUUUCCAAAAGAAGGCUUCCAGGAUUUAAUGGUGACAAAGCACACCAAGGACAGAGAAUGUCCUGGGAUGGUUACAGAGGCGUUUUCUGGGCUCACCUAGGAAAUGGACCUUUUCUAACCAUCUAGGCUAUUAAUUACAAUGAUGGCAUGAGCCGGUGAUAGCUUUGACCUGCAUGUGAAGCCACUCACUGUGUCCUUUGUGGCAUGAGGAGAUAUUUUCCCUUUUGGGCCUUCUUCCUUCAUGAUAAUUCCCAUAAUCAGCACAUACUGCAAAUUGUGAUAUUAAAGUUUCCAUUUCCUCAAACAACCCUAAUAAUUGGGAAUUCUCAAAUUGUUAGGAACAUACUUUGAGAAGUAGGUGAAGUUUAUUCCUAGAUGACUUGUAUUUGCAGCCUUAAUUUACCACAGUUGAAGUUUGGAUCUUGAGCUUGGAAAUAUAGCUCAAAGAUUUAUUGAAUUUCCCCAGAAUCUGGGAUAAAGGAAUACAUCUGUAAAAUAUUGUUACUCAAGUGUUUAUAGAUGUUAAUAGUUAAUGUGUACUUUGCAAAAGGAUAUUCUUUAACAGAAACAUCACAUACCAGCUCUGCAAACAACUCAGAAUCCGAUUUCCUAAAGGGAUCUAUUCCUGACAGAAGAUGAUUUCUGAAGAUGGAGUCUGUUGGCUAAGAUACCCAAAUGCAAAUGUGUAAUAUCAAUUGCUAUUGUAUUAAUGUUCUGUUUCUAUCUGCUGUUCUAGUUUUUGCCCCAGUCCUGGUUUCUGCACUUCUUUAGGGGCUGGCUCUCCCCCUUGUGACUUGUCUGCCUGUUGGGGGAAGCAAUGGCUGGACACCCUUCAGAUCUCCAAGCGGGUCUCCACUGACCUGGGACCCCGGCAUUCACUGAGGACACACCCCUAGAGAUCCUGUGUCUGCGGCCUUCUCCUCCCUGUUCAAGUUUUGGCUACUCCCCUGUGAGAUAUGUGCUCAUAGACAUUUGUAAACUCGGCAACCAUUCUAGCCUGCAGCCCUGGACAUUGCCUAUAGCCAAUCCCUCUCUCCUGACAAUAGGUGAAUCAGGAGAUCUCGUGUGCAUUCGGAAGAUUCCUGAAGGGGCUCUCAAGCCACGGUGGACUGGACCUUCCGUGAUAAUAAUGACCACCCCGAGAGCUGUAAAGGUGGCAGGAAAGAAACCCUGGAUCCACGUGUCUCAACUGAAACCUAUUAACCCACGAGCAGCAGUGCAAGGAGCAGAGCAGUAGAAGGUCACCAAAACUUCAGAUCCCCUAAAGAUCAAGAUUCAUAGACAUUGAACACUAUGGGAAAGGGAGGAUGGGGUGGAGCUAUGCUUGGACUUGUACUUUUGGGAUUUUGGGAAAUUAGUCUACCCUUCCAGGUAAUUCAAUACCGAUGGGUCAUCAGUAAGACAAGGGAUGGGAAGGAAUUAAUUAGUGACAGACCAACCCGGGAGGAGAAAACCCCCCAAAUCCUUUUUGAUUUGUGUGAUUUAUUUGGGAGUGAAUGGACAGAUCCCUCACAAACUCUUUUAUGCACAACCCCAUCAGGGACUCUGUAUCUAUCAGAAGCCUCUGUCUAUGCUUGCCCAUCUACAGGGCCAAAUCAGGGGGAGAAUUCUAUUGUGCAGCCUGGGGAUGUGGAACUGUAGCCCCUGAUAUCAUACUACAAAGGGAGCAAGGCAGGGCCUGGGAUGUCCCCCUCGAUUUCAGGAAUCCCCUUUCCCUGACUAUUAAAAACCCAGAGGAUAAAGGAUGGUUACCAGGCCGGACUUGGGGACUUAGGCUGGAGAUUUACAGAAUGGCAAAUAGCUAACAAAAUGCAACCCUCACCAGUCGGCCAGAACCGAGAGGUCCUUGUGGGAUUGGGGCCGGGAACCCAUCCCCACUGUCUCUGCACCUGGGCAACCGAGUUUGAGACUGCCAUAAAGCACCCUCACAGAGAGCGAUCCCUCCUCACUAUGCUCACAACUGUCUUUUUAGAUCUUAGUGAAUUGGAAAUGUCUGUUAAUUUCCUGGAAAAAUCACUGUCCUCGAUGGCAGAAAUGGUGGGGAGGCUCUGGGUGGCAUUGGGAGAAUCCUGCUGUUUUUAUGCUAAUCAUUCUGGGAUUAUACAGGAAUCUCUGGCCUUGCUCAGGGAAGGAUCCAAGAGAGGACCGAAGACUAAUGCUCAAUACAGCAACUGGUACUCCAAUCUUUUCUCUUGGUCUCCUUGACUAACCACUUUGAUCAUGGCCGUGGCAGGACCACUCAUAUUAUUAAUAGUGGGCCUCUUGGUAGGACCCUGCCUGAUCAACCAUUUUAUGACCUAUAUUUAUCAGUGUCUUCAGGCUAUUAAGCUUUUGGCCUUAAGAUCACAUUAUUCUCCUCUGUCUGAUGAGUCAAGGAUUUGACUCCCCCCCCCAACAGAAAAAGGAGGGAAUGAAAUAGCCCCCAAAAGACCAAAGAUGGAAAAAAUUACUCCUGUCCACAUUUUUAGGGGACAGACCUGUCUUUUCCUUCCCUCCAGAAGGACAAGAUGUUUGGGGCAGAUAGCAAAAUGCUUUCUGCUUAGUUUGGGUGGCAAGAGACAAAAGAGGAAUUUCAGGAAUAUCAAAGGGCCAGUGAACUAACAUUUGACUAAGUGAAGAUAAACACUCCUUGGUUAACAGCCCCAUCGUAAUUCUAAGAAUUGUCCCCCCAUCUCAGACCCCACAUUCCUAUGUUAAGGUUUGUGAUAGAUAAGAACUCUGCAAUGUAUAUAAUCUGGUCUUUAAUGUCAAACCAACGCAGUUUCCCACUAGGGAACUCUGCCCCAGCUGGUAGAUCCUUUAUUUCUCUCUUUUAUUAAUAAAUUACAGUUCCAAUAAUUGAAA